GGACCCGUAGCUUAGUCUGGUUGGAGCACUCGACUGAUAAUCGAGCGGUCGCGCGUUCAAAUCGCGCCGGGUCCA
rnacentral:tRNA from 1 species